GUCUCUGUAGCGUAAUAGAUAUCGCGUUUGAUUUCUGGUCAAAAGGUCGUGGGUUGGAAUCCCAUUUGGGAUG